GUUUUCCUUUUCUUUCUAGGGUGUGGGUUGGCAGACAUUCUUCAGGAGAAAGGUAUUGUCAAAGGUGUAUAGAGCCUAUGUGGAAACAGACCCACAGAAGGUGAAAACAAGCCAGGACGGUGUGCUCCUGCUCGGAGUGCUUGCUCUUUGUUGUCUUGAAGCCUUCAACUAACUGGAAGAGGAUGACCUACACCAGGAAGGACAAGGUGGUUCACAUCAUCGAUGGGAGCUGCUGCAGCGCCCGAAGGCAUAGAUGGGUCCUGGAGAGGAAGAACAACCCUCUUCGCCCCUGACUAUGGUCACUAUGACAGCCUCAGCGACAGGCCGGCGGGAGCAAUGGGCUGUUCUGAAGCAGAGUCGUCGGGAAGACUGAGAGUUCGGUUUGCCAAAGCCUCGCCCGUGAGGAGCAGAGCAUCUGAAGUGAAACUGUGCCUGGGGAAAGAGGGCCUCACCUCCGGGGGCCCCGCAAGUCCUGUCUCUCUCCCGUGGGGCUCUGCCGAAGAGGGCUGGGUGCUCUUGACAAUCUCCUCGCAUGUGGCACAAGUCCUCCUCUUUUCCACCGGCCCUGAAGCUUUUAUUUUUUGUGUCAGAGUUUUGUUUCCUCUUUCGCCUUCUCCGAUUCACUUCACUUCUUUCCACAGUCCCUCUUCUACUCGAUGAGUUGGAAUUGCAGACACAAAUGCCACCGUCUAGAGUCUUGUUCUUUACGUCCCACAGCCCUCUAGAAGGGAGGAGAGACAGAGCUGCCUGUUGCUUGAAUGAGGGGAAUAAAGGGGGGAAGGCCACAGAAGAGUACUACUACACACAAAAUGGAUAUGUGGUUACACGCUGAUAUGUGUGCAUUACGUGUAUUCCCCACACACUUCGCCUUAUUGAUUCCAAAGUGAUUCACUUUAGUCUUUCUUUCUGGUCAUACUACUGAACCAAAGUGUUCAUUUUCCAGAUUAGUACUCAAUUUGAACUACUCAUUGUUUACGG
rnacentral:lncRNA from 1 species